GCUUGCCCGCCACACCCUAAUUCCCAACGGUGGUCUCUCUCAAGAGAGCGAGCCCCGCGCGGCUUCGCAGCCAUCAGGCCCAUCACCCACUUCUCCACUUGUUGCUCCGCCGAGGAGGUUCUCGUUCCUUGGUUUUUCCCUGAUCGGCUUCUUUCCUCCGACUGAGUAGGUUCUCUGAUUAUUAAUUUUGAUCAGUUGGUGGUGGUGGUGGUGGUGGUGAGGUUGUUGCGCGGAGAUAUGUUUCUAUGAAGGCAUAUGGUUCUUUGGAGUCUGGAUAUGGGGUUGAUGAUGCAUUUGUGCAGGCUCAAGAGGUGAAAACGAGGGGGUUUGAUUUGUUGGUGGAGAUUAGCUAAUCAUAAACCUUGGGCUCUGGCUUACAUGUUAAUGAUGGUUUAGGAUUUUCAGCCCAAAAUUUACUACUGUUCUGAUAGUACUUUCAAUUUUAUGGAGCUGGUUUGAACAAAACAAGACAAAGCAACAAUUGGGAACAAAGGGCUUUGAGUCAAAAUCAGAUCUUGCAUUCAAAGGAGUCCAUUAUCUUAUGAACUAAAGGAAGUUCAAUUAUCAACUUUGCAAAGGGUAAGUUUUUGAAUCUCUAGUUGAUGACUACCUUUUUGUUACCAUUUGAUAUUAAUUCCUGAUUUAGUUAUUAAUUAUUGAAUCCCAAUGCAUGAAUCAUGGCAUCCAGAGACUUAACAUCAGCUGUUCAUUGGUGUCAAUUUUGAUUAAGAUUGGAUUUUGUUUAAUGUUUUUGCAGAUUUUGGAGAAUUCAUGGUUAAAGAUCAAGAGGGUUGAAGAUGAGGAUACA